UACCAGCUCUCCGAGCGGUGUGGAUGUUUAUUGGGCCUAAAGCAUCCGUAGCUGGCUGGACAAGUCCCCUGUUAAAUCCACCGAUUUAAUCGUUGGAGUGCGGGGGAUACUGUUCGGCUAGGGGACGGGAGAGGCAGACGGUAUUUUCGGGGUAGGGGUGAAAUCCUAUAAUCCCGGGAAGACCACCAGUGGCGAAGGCUGUCUGCUAGAACGCGCCCGACGGUGAGGGAUGAAAGCUGGGGGGAGCGAACCGGAUUAGAUACCCGGGUAGUCCCAGCUGUAAACGAUGCAGGCUAGGUGUUUGGGCGGCCACGUGCCGCUCUAGUGCCGCAGGGAAGCCGUUAAGCCUGCCGCCUGGGGAGUACGGCCGCAAGGCUGAAACUUAAAGGAAUUGGCGGGGGAGCACCACAAGGGGUGAAGCUUGCGGUUU
rnacentral:rRNA from 1 species